rnacentral:rRNA from 1 species
UACAGAGGUCUCAAGCGUUUGUUCGGAUUCAUUGGGCGUAAAGGGUGUGUAGGUGGCGCGCUAAGUCGGGGUGUGAAAUUUCGGAGCUUAACUCCGAAACUGCAUUCGAUACUGGCGUGCUUUGAGGACUGGGAGAGGAGACUGGAAUUUACGGUGUAGCAGUGAAAUGCGUAGAUAUCGUAAAGGAAGACCAGUGGCGAAGGCGGGUCUCUGGACAGUUCCUGACACUGAGACACGAAGGCCAGGGGGAGCAAACGGG